UGUAAUUUGAAUUUGUGGCCUUGUAUAUAAAAAUGAAGGAAGUAGUAGAGAAUAGACCAAACAAAUAUGGAUUAUAUUUGCUAAAAAUUUAAACCAUUGAGUUCUUAUCGAAAAGAAGUUUUCCGUGGUAUAAUUUUGAAGUCACAAAAAUAUAUAUUAUUUAUGGUUAAAGUUUGAUUUAUUCAUUGAUGAAAUGGAGGGAGUAAAUGUGCAAGUGAAGGAAACGUUUUUACUACUACAAAGCGUAAAGCGAGUGGGUACGCUUUCGCUGGUCGCCCUCUGCUUCGUUCUCUGGUUUCACAUGGGUGGAGCUCCCCUGCGGCGGAGCUCGGCGGCUGGUGAGGUGAAGCCGCGGUCGAUUGCGCCGGCAGAUCCUGGACGGCGUCCACUGCGGGCUGAUUUCGACGAGCGGUGGCCCAGCUGCAGCAGGAGGCUCCCCCGGUUCCAGCGGGCGGCAGCCCGAUGCCGACGAGACCCGGCGGCCUGACUGCGACGGGGAGGACUCUGGCUACGAGGUUUUUGACCGCAAGCAACCUCAAGUCUCAAGAAGGAACAUGCCGAAGGCAAAAACAUGUAUGAGGGGAUGCCUUCCCUGUCCGCAGUAGCUCGGCGGCAAGGUAUCCCUUGGUAUCAACCACAUGUGUGGUUUGUGGUCUGUCGAGCAGGUGGCUCCACGAUCUCCUUCCCCUAGUACUACCGUUGGCGAUACCCGCUUGACGUUACCCUUCUUCACCGGCAAUAAGGGAAGGGCGUGGGAGCCGGGAGCAUUCGCCUCGGGAGAGGACUACGGAGGAGCUUAUCGCUUUUGGUGGGAUCACGGAUCCGGUGACGGCUGGCAGGCGUGUCAGCAACCGGAUCCAGGGACAGCCGGAUGCAGAUGACCUGUAGCUAGCGCGCGCCAAGAGGGCGGCCAAGUUUCGAGAUGUCAAGGCAACUACAGGUCAUCUUCAGAGCUACCGCAUGGAUCCGUACGUGGUCCUUACUCACUCCUAUGGACUCCAGGGAGCCUUCGGUUACUGGGUGCAACCAGUGGGAAAUGGUAGCACGGGCUAUAUUCAACCGGUUCGGAUGGCGGUCGCAUAACAGGAUAGGAGUCUAGGGAGCUUAUCUUUUACAUUGCCUUACCGGUUGCGAUUUUGAGAAUGUACUUUUCAUUUCUUUGUUUCGCUCCGCUUGCGAGCUGUAAUAUUUUUAUGACAUUGUGCUACUUUGAGGAUUUUUAAUAAGAUGGAUGCAUACAUCAUUAUGAU